UACGUAGGGGGCUAGCGUUGUCCGGAAUCAUUGGGCGUAAAGAGCGCGUAGGCGGCCAGAUAAGUCCGGUGUGAAAGUCAAAGGCUCAACCUUUGAAUGCCGCUGGAAACUGUCUGGCUAGAGUCCGGGAGGGGCGAGUGGAAUUCCUGGUGUAGCGGUGAAAUGCGCAGAUAUCAGGAAGGAACACCCAUGGCGAAGGCGGUCUCGUGGGAACGGUACUGACGCUGAGGACGAAGAACGUGGGGGAGCGAAACAGG
rnacentral:rRNA from 1 species